ensembl:lncRNA
GGAUACAAUAAAAUUAUAUCUAAACGUUACUGUGUGUGUUUUCAUUGAAAAAUAAUACAUGAAAAUAUUUUAUAAAUUACCUGCACUAUAGCAAUAUGUGCGGCUAUAUAAAGAGCCACCAGCAGGAAAUAAUCGCGGGAAUAGUUUGUGGUAUCGGUGGUUCAUCUGCUGAGUAAAAAGAUAAGAAAAGGAAAAUGGAUCGGGUGCUUGUCACAGUUGCUGCUGGCAUUAUGUACCUUAAGGCUGAAGAAGAAGCAGCGCAACUGAGAAGAUCCGGAAGAGAAGAGCCAGAAUGAAGAUGAGGGGGAGGAGACGUGCCUUGAUGGCGUGCCUUCUUCACUCAGUACAUUUUUAAAAAUAACUAAUAGCCGACGCUGCCUGUCGCCUGGGGGACGUCGUAUGGUAAGGUCAUCGUAUAAUGAUCUUCCCGGACUACUCAAAGUUGCUGAGUGAGAAGCGGAAUAAGUUUAAUGAGUGCAAGAAGCUUCUGCACAACAAACGUAUUGGUUUCUCCUUAAUUUACCCAGCAGUGCUUGUUGUGAAAGCUCCUCAGGGAUCCCGUUGCUUCGAGGACCAUAAAAAAGCAAUGACUUUCAUUCGCCCCAUGGUGUAAAACUGGUUUGUUUGCCUGUUUGUUUUUGUCGUUUUUUUGUUGGGGUUUUUUUCCCUUCAUCUGUCGCUUUUGUUUAUUUUUCUGGGUAGUAAUUUUCUCCUGUUUUGUUUUUUGUUCUUUGUUUGUUUGUUUUUGUUUUUGUUGUUUGUUUGUUUGUUUGUUUGUUUUUGUUUUUCCUAGACCCCAAAGUACUGGAAAAGGUCGUGGCUCCAAAACUCCAUUAAUAAAACCUUAUUAAUGGAGUUUUUAUUAUGUUUAGAGAGAGAUACAAAUGAUGAUUAUUACGUGCUCGCUUCAUUUUCGUAUUAAGGACAAUUCUGGAGGUUAACUCAGACCUCUUCUCUAAACUGAAUUGGACACAAGGUGGAGUGGUGAGUUCAUACCCUUAGUGGAUCUAUUGUACUGUGUCCAUUCUCAAUGUUCUGUUUGUUAAACUGUAUUAUGAGCAUUAAACUAGAACAAAGUUUGGUUUGGAAUGUAUGUUUUAUAGAUAAGACUGUAGAUCCAGUAUAUUCGAUUGCGGAAUUUUUUAUUUUUUUAUUUACACAUUAACAAGAGAAUUCUCAGUAAAACCAAAGUUACUUUCCCUAGUAACUAGUAAAGCAGGGCGAUAUGACCAAAAAUAUUUAUCACGAUAUACAUUUGAAAAUUUGCGAUAACGAUAUAACUGACGAUAUAAUUGACACUAGACAAAAUACUUUACAACUCCACUACUUUAUUAGUGAAAAAAAACCCAUAAAUGUAUUUUCACUUAAACAAGCAGCUGUUUUUUAUGUGCA